rnacentral:rRNA from 1 species
UCGGGAAUUUUGGGCAAUGGGGGAAACCCUGACCCAGCAACGCCGCGUGAAGGAUGAAGUAUUUCGGUAUGUAAACUUCGAAAGAAUAGGAAGAAUAAAUGACGGUACUAUUUAUAAGGUCCGGCUAACUACGUGCCAGCAGCCGCGGUAAUACGUAGGGACCAAGCGUUGUUCGGAUUUACUGGGCGUAAAGGGCGCGUAGGCGGCAUGACAAGUCACUUGUGAAAUCUCUGGGCUUAACCCAGAACGGCCAAGUGAUACUGUCACGCUAGAGUAUUGGAGGGGCAAUCGGAAUUCUUGGUGUAGCGGUGAAAUGCGUAGAUAUCAAGAGGAACACCUGAGGUGAAGACGGGUUGCUGGCCAAUACUGACGCUGAGGCGCGAAAGCCAGGGGAGCAAACGGGAUUAGAUACCCAGGUAGUCCCUGAGCGGGCUGGCAAGGCGCAU